AUGGCACAUCAAAAGGCAAAGUGGCCGAUGUUUGACGGUAGGGCCGAAGAAUAUGAGCUCUUGGAAGAACGGAUGCUGUGCUGUAUGCACCGUGUCAAGUUAAAAGAGACUAUUCUGAACGAGCCUGGUGGACCGCUGACAGCUGAGGAACGAGCCAUGGAUGAGGAGCUGAAUGCUGAUGCUUACUGUUCGUUGGCGCCAUUGCUGGAUAACGUGAGCUUGGGACUGAUAUUCAGAGACUGUAAAAAUAAGGGACGCGAGAGUCUGCAAGUGUUGAGAGAGCACUACAUUGGCAAAGGAAGGCCACGGAUUGUUUCGUUAUACAUAACGUUAACCUCGCUGAAGACGCGGACACAGACUGUGACAGAGUACAUUAUCCGGGCGGAGCAGAUCUUCACAGCGCUCAGAGGUGCAGGCGAGGCACCGAGUGAGGGGUUGAUGAUGGCUAUGAUUAUGCGGGGACUUCCAGAGAACUACAAGCCGUUUACGCUGAUGGUAACCCACGGUUCAGCGGAGAUGAAACUGGCGGAGUUCAAGGCUAAGCUGCGAAACUUCGAGGCGUCGAAGGAUGCUGAGCCAGUAGCCGAGAUGGCGGGAGAAAGGGUGCUGAAGGCUCGCGCAGCACUGAAGAAAAAGAACAGCGGAUCUUCGACAGAGAUGGCGUGUUGGCGGUGCGGUGAAAGGGGACAUCGAAAAGAUGAGUGCACAAGAAAAGUUUGGUGCGGUUCCUGCAAAAGCACAAGCCACAGCGACAACGCCUGCAGGAAGAAAGAGCGUGCACAAAGGUCCAGGUGUGCUCGUGCUGAAGAUCACGGCGGUGGUGGUGGCGGCGGCAGCAGCGGUGGUAGCAGUGGCGGUCGGGCAGCGAAUGGUGGACGGAUCGAGGCGCGGGGACCCGCGAGAGUCGACUUCACAUUCCGGGCAGAGACCGAGGACACCUGCAAGCCAGCGCAGCAGCGGCAGAUUGAGGGAAAAGGGCUGAUCGUCGACACUGAUGCGACAUCCCACAUGCUGAACGACAGGAGCCGGUUCAAGUCCUUCGACAGCACAUUCAAGCCGGAGAGCCACAGCAUGGAGCUGGCCGACGGGAGGCAGACAUUCGGGUUGGCGGAAGGCAGAGGAGACGCACAGGUGUGUCUCACCGACAGCGACGGACGAAUGUGUACAGUAACUCUCAAGAACGCCCUGUACAUCCCUUCGUUCCCACAAGAACUCUUCUCCGUGAAGUGUGCCACUGCACACGGUGCCAAGGUACUCUUCGAGGAAGGUAACGAUGUUCUUGUAGCGCCUGAUGGUGCAAGGUUUAGCAUUCAAGUGUGUGUCAGAAUGUACUACUUGCAAACCAAGUGUGAUGACAAUGAUAUGUGCAAUGUUAGCCACGAUAUUCAAACCUGGCAUGAAAUUAUGGGGCAUUGUAAUUAUGAUGACAUACUGAAACUGCAGGAUGUAACCCUAGGCAUGCACAUUAAGGGUGCAAAACGUAAGCCCGAAAAGGAAUGUCAUGUGUGCAUAGAGGGGAAGUUUACUCGGACGAGAAACAGAAAUGCAACAGACAAGGUGAAAACACCACUGGAGUUGGUAAACACUGAUCUAGCUGGUCCAGUGACCAAUGGUUCAAUCGAGGGUUACAGGUACAUGCAAUCUUUCACAGAUGUGUACACAGGAGUAGUAUUCACAUACUUCCUCAAAGCAAAGAGUGAUGCCGUACUGGCUACUGAAAAGUUCUUGGCUGACAUAGCGCCUUAUGGCAGUGUGAAAUGCAUCCGGUCAGACAACGGGACCGAGUUCACAAGCAGAGAGUUUAAGACACUCCUGCGAAAGAACAAGAUCAGACAAGAGACGUCCUGUCCUUACUCCCCACACCAGAAUGGGAUAGCUGAGAGGGAAGGGCACACUCUCUUUGAGAUGGCAAGGUGUAAGCUCAUUGACAGCAACUUACCUAAGAGUCUAUGGCAUUACGCCGUUCAGGAAGCGGCAUACACCAGAAACCGAUGCUAUAACAAGCACAUAGGCACAACCCCAUACACAGCACUGACAGGGAAGAAGUGUGAUCUAGCCAAGAUGCACAAAUUCGGGUCAGAGUGUUAUGCGUACAUACAAGACAAGGGUAAACUAGAUCCCAGGUGUGAGAAGGGUCUUUUCGUAGGGCACGACAAAGGCAGCCCAGCCUAUCUAGUUUACUACCCCACCAAAGGUAAAGUGCAGAAGCACAGACUGGUCAAGUUUAUCACUAAGACCACAUGUGACAGCGAGACUCAGACUCAGGACUUAGGACUUGACACCAUUGUAAAUAGUGACAAGACCGACACACCACAGCCCAGUGCUCAGAGCACAGACGUACAGACUGACAGUCCACAAUCCCCAGAGGAUGAUGGCGAGGAGCACCAAAGGGUGACGCCACAGGCCCCAAGCAGUGGGAGGUACCCCACUAGAGAGCGUAAGCCCCCAAGUUAUCUCUGUGAUUAUGCUACUGAGGAUGAUAGUGGUGAUGAUGAUUGUAGCGACUAG
ensembl:lncRNA